AUUUCCCUCCCAUUCAUGGUUUUUUUUAGCGUACCAACGAUCUGCCAUCGGGUAUUCACGACUCGGUUCGUCUCUUUUUCUCGCUCUUCGCGGCGUGGAAAGAGAGUCACGAAAGAAGCCAAGAAAGAACGCCGAAGAGAGAGAAGCGAAAGAGAUUGGUUUCGUUGCCCUCUCGCCCCUUUGAUCCCCUCCGAUCCGGCGAUCGUCGAUCGCUCCCUCGGUGUUCUUCUUGCUUCCUCAUCCGCCUUUGAUCCUCUCCGAUCCGCCAUCUUUGGUGUUUUUUUCCCCCUUUUCCGGGUCCGAUCUGGUUGGAUCGCUCGCUGAAGAAGAUGAAUCAGAGGUUGAAGCUCCAGCAGCAGCAGCAGGCGCUGAUGCAGCAGGCGAUGCUCCAGCAGCAGCAGCUCUACCACUCCGGGGUCUUAGCCGCUGCCAUGUCUCAGAUGGAGCCUGUUCCAAGUGGAAAUCUUCCCCCUGGUUUUGAUCCAUCUACAUGCUGCAGUGUGUAUGUGGGAAAUAUCCAUCCAAAUGUAACAGAGAGCCUACUGGCUGAAGUUUUUCAAAGUUUUGGUCCACUUGAAGGAUGCAAACUCAUCAGAAAAGAAAAGUCUUCGUUUGGAUUUGUUGAUUACCAUGAUCGGAGGUCAGCAGCUCUUGCUAUCAUGUCACUGCAUGGGCGACAGCUAUAUGGUCAAGCAAUUAAGGUGAAUUGGGCAUACGCUAGUGGUCAAAGGGAAGACACAUCUGGACAUUUCCAUAUUUUUGUUGGAGAUCUAAGUUCGGAGGUCACUGAUGCAACACUUUUUGCUUGUUUCUCAGCAUACAGCAGUUGUUCGGAUGCACGGGUAAUGUGGGAUAACAAAACGGGGCGCUCCAGAGGAUUUGGCUUUGUCUCUUUCCGCGAUCAGCAGGAUGCACAGAAUGCCAUCAAUGAUAUGACUGGUAAAUGGCUUGGAAGUAGACAAAUACGGUGCAACUGGGCAACCAAGACUACUGGCGAAGACAAACAGCAGAGUGACAAUCAGAAUGCUGUUGUAUUGACAGAGGGAAGUAGCAAUCCAGCAGAUGGAGGCCAGGAGAAUUCAAAUGAAAUGGCCCCUGAAAAUAAUCCUGCAUACACAACUGUGUAUGUUGGUAACCUGGCCCAUGAGGUAUCACAAGUUGAGCUUCACCGCCAAUUUCAUAUUUUAGGUGCUGGUGUAAUUGAGGAAGUGCGGAUACAGAGGGAUAAAGGAUUUGGAUUUGUCAGAUAUCGUACACAUGAAGAAGCUGCUUUGGCCAUCCAAAUGGCAAAUGGAAGGAUAAUAUGUGGGAAAUCAAUGAAAUGUUCUUGGGGAACUAAGCCAACUCCCCCAGGGACGGCUUCCAACCCACUACCUCCUCCUCUGCCACCGUUUCAGCUUCUACCAACACCAGGUCUCCAAGGUUUUACGGCUGCUGAGCUCUUGGCUUAUCAGCGUCAGCUUGCUUUGAGUCAGGUUGCUGCUGGACCAAUGGCUGGUCAACAUGGCCUUGCUGCACAGCCUUCUGCAGGGCUCAUGUCAGGUGGUGGGUCACAGGCAAUGUUUGCAACCAAUUGGGCUGGGACAUGAUCACUAAUGGAGGUGGGAGUAGGAACAGCUGCUGCAAGCUCAAGUUGGAGAACCUCAUCAUAUAUUAGCAUUGCAGAUUCACAGACGUGUUAUCAGCAGGUAUCAGUCUUUUUAUACUUCAACUUGUACUAAAUUAUAGAUGUUCCGAUCUUUUUUUUAACUAUUUUUAAUUUCACUAUUAAAUUCAGUGUCUUCUAUAUCACAUGGAAUUUUACUUAAUGCAGGUUCGCCUCACUCGUUGCUUAGUUUAAUUGGGAAAAAGGCUUAUAUAAUAGCUUAGAAUCAAGGCUCAGUAUAUAAGAAGACUAAACAAUUUUGGUGGUCUUAAAAGCUGUCUUUGCUUCAUAUGAACUCUCUUAGUUGUAUUAGAAGGAACAGUAUGAGCGACAAAUAUUAAUACUUGGAAAAUGAGUAAAGCAAUUAUCAAAAAAUGUCAAAGGUGGUUUGUAUGGACUUUACGAGGGUCCAUUGUAAUAUCUUUCUUGGUGUUUUGCCAUCUUCUCGAAAAGCUUUGCAGAAUCAAUUUCUCAGUGUUUUGGCUGCUGAUGAAAUUGCAGCUCUUAUGUAAGCCUGUUUUCCUAUGAAAACCAGAAGGAGCCUACAAAUUUAUUGCACUGGCAAUGAUAAUUAGGAUGUGGAAAUAUCAAGAAUGUCUAUCUUGACAAAACUGGUGCACAUCCAAGUUAAGGAUUUUGUAGAGCAAAAGAAAGUGCAUGACUUUGAGGCUAAGGGAAUAACUAGAUGCAAAAAUAGAAAAUACGAAUUAGAUAUGACUUUAAUAGUUUCAUCUGGUCAGGUAUGUGAUUAAUAGAAAAUAAAAAUUAGAGUCCUGAAGGACGGAGUUGACAUAUUCAAGGCUGCUAACAAUUUCUCUGGAGAAACAGCACAUGAUCAUUUUAUGGAAUCAUUGAAGAUAUGCAUUAAUGAUCUCCUAGAAGAUAAUAAUUGCUUGUUAACCAGAACAUCUAUGAUGAGGUGAAUUAACUCAGUGCUUGAGGGUGGAAAUUCACCAAUCACCAUGGGCUUCACAUACUCAUGUAGCAAGUAAAUGACGAGCACACAGCUCAGGUAUUUAUCAUUCUGUAUUUUUGCCAUCGCAAUAUGGUUCAAAUGAAAUGGUGAAUUCAUUCUUUUUAUAGCAGUCAAAUUGCUAGUGUUAGUACUGACAAUUCUUUUGCCAAAUUUGCAAGUCAAAAUCAUGUGGGACAUGUCUAGCAAAACACAUAGGAAUACUGACGUGUCUUGUAUGUAGUAAGGAAAUUUAUACUAUGAACAACUAAACUGAUCUUUGUCGGAUGUGCAUAACAGAGAGUUCCUGACUGGAGUGGGAUAGUCUAGUUUGUGUACCUUGCAUCUGGUUAAAGAUAGCAUAACAUUUUCGUGUCUUUAACUAGGAUAAUUGUAGUUGCCCAACACAAUAAGUAGUCAUUUCAAGAAUCUUGGAAUUUUACAAACAUUACUAUCCGAGUGAAAAUGAAUAUCUUGCUCAAAAGAACUCUUUACAUUUAAUAUUAAGGUAGACAUUAAUGUUUGCAGAAAUAUGUUGUCACUAGAGCUGUUGAUUUGCUCAGACAGUAGCAGCUGUUGACUGACUGGUGAAGGCUUGGCAUAAAAAAAAAUAUUCAGCAGAGGUGUCUAUGAACUAAAUGUUUCCCUGUAAAACCUGGUAAAACUUGUAAAAUAUGGUACUAGAAAAUAAAAAAGAAAAAAUUUCCAGUAUAUGCUUCUACAAACUAAUUGGCUGUUGCCACAAGUUUUUCUUGAAACUUCUGCCUGCCUCAUUUAGGAGGUUGUACUGCAUCAAGCAAAUUCUGCUUGAAGCACUCGUCUUAUGUGUUGCUUGUAGCUACUGCAUUGAAGAACUUACUGAUUCUACUAAUGGAAACUAACUUUGGCUACAUAAGACCAGCUUAGGCAGCUUGGUCACAAACUUACCUGCACAAACCAAAAAGAAAAGUUGAUACACUUAUCAAAGUAGCAGUUUGCUAAUCAUUGUGGUGGGAACUACAGAUAAGUCAUGUUAUCACCCAUCUUCUCAUGCAACAUUUGAUCAUCGUCCUGUUGCGGACGAUUCACUUGAACUUUCAUAACCAGAUUGUGUCAUUAGUGAAUCGCUGACAAUAUCCUGACAAAAAAGUAUUGAGAUGAUUAGUGCAGGCUUCCUCAUUCUGUUGCUUUGAAAGAUUUUCUCAUCCAAGUUAAUUUAUUUAUAUAUUAUCAUGAAAAGUUCACUUAUAGGGCCGUUUAUCUCAUGUUUUUUUGGCUAGAAUAAUCAGUGUGCCACUCAAAAAGCAAGCUAUAAGAAAAUGAUACUCCAGUUAUGGAGGGAAAAACUACACCCACAGAACAAACAUAAAAGCCUCAACCUUUUUUUCAAGAGCAAAA